rnacentral:lncRNA from 1 species
AUGUAUACUAGCUGCGCUAUGGCUACACCCAGAGAGUUUAACGACGACCAGCCUGCACUGAGUCCCCGUCCCAGCAGGGUGCGACGCAUUCCCGGACAUCUGGAGGACUUCGAACUCACCUACCCAGCUCACCGUCUUUAUAGUACCACAGUAAGACCAGCAUCACCACUAAGCCCUGGGAGUUCCCCUAACUACCCUGCAGCUGGUCAUUAUGGUACGGCAAGUCCAGAGGAAAGAUGGCAGCGGCUGGAAGCACGUUGGCAAACGAUAAGCCAGCAGAUGAAAGAACUUGAAGUGGAAAUGGACAGGGUCAGAUUGCCUUCGUAUCCACAGAGUGCACAUCUGCCUUACCCUUCAUACCACUAUGCAGCAUUUCAGCCACAUUACAGUAGCCUCCCCCAUUUAGAACUGGGUUACCCUGUACGGCCUCCCAGUCCAAGAGCUGCACCUAACAUUCAGCACCAGGUUCUGCACGCUCCAACACAAGCCCCUGCUCCUCAAGCGCAGGUUGACACUGCUGCAUCAAACCCACAGCCUGCUUCAGAAGCAAUGUCUGUACCAGCCCCCGCAUCCACGGCUCCUCCAGCCUGCUCGCCGCCGUUGCCAACGCAGCCUGCACCUCCUGCUACUCUAAUGAUGCCUCAGCCAGUGUCCCCUAUCACACCACAGCCAGAACCACAUGUGCCUCAGCCAGUGCCCUCUACCACACUGUUACAGCCUGAGCAUGUUCCGCAAGAGCAGCAGUAUGAUGCACUCCCCAGGGCCUGGCAGUCUGUUCCACUGCCAUAUCCACCUGUGCAUUAUCCUAGACCACCCCGUGGUCAGCACUAUUAUCCAACAUCUCACCCAGUAGACAGUUCACAUCAGCCAAGUAUGAUGGAGAUGGCGAUUGCUUCAUCAUUUGGCAUUCCUAAACCCAAACUGACUGUAUUCAGCUCAGGGAAAGAGAGUGAUUUUCUUAUGCUCAAAAAGGGUCUGGACAGCUUACUUGGUCCGCACAAGCAUUUAAGUGAAGACUAUAAGUAUCAGAUUCUGCUUGACCAUCUCACAUUCCCAUCUGCACUUCAAGUGGCAAAGAGGUAUGUCAACAGUCAGACCCCAUACACAAGUGCCAUGCAAGCGCUCACACAGAGGUACGGACAGCCAAGGCAGCUAGUGCAGGGAGAACUGAAGGCCAUUCUGAAUGCCCCACCAGUCAGGGCCGGAGAUUAUCAAGCAUUUGAGGACUUUGCUACGGCAGUUGGAACUCUAGUGGGGAUGCUCAGUACAAUGGAGGGCCCCUCAUCGUCAGAGUUGAAGUGUGGGUCUCAUGUGGACACUCUACUCACCAAACUCCCCACUAACUAUCGAGAUGCAUUUGCUGAACAUUGCUUUAACCGAGGAAUUAUCCAAAGUGGCAGUGACCGUACAUACACUCUCCCUGACCUAGCCGAGUGGCUGGAAAGGAAGGCCCAGACUCUGCAAGUGUCUCGCCAAAUCACAAGCCCCUUCCCAGCUAUACCAGCACCGACUGAGUACAAGGACCGGAAAGCAGUGAGACAACAGAGGGUCAGACCUGCUACUAUUCUGCUUGGGAGUCAGCAGGGAUCGAAGCCCGCUAAUCCUUCUCCGAGCCCUGCCACUGUACCACACCUGAAGAAGAGAGAUCGUUUCAAGCCCUUCUGCCCUUAUUGUAAUAACCAGGAGCACUACCUCAAUGCCUGUGCUGACUUUGCCACGCUCACCUGUACUGCCAGAGCUACCUGGAUAAAAGAGAAAAAACGAUGUUGGAAAUGUGGGAGAGGACAUCCCCCAGGAAACUGCACUCUGAAGAAGCCCUGUGCAACAUGUGGAGAACAACAUCUGCUCAUACUACAUGAUGUUGCUGCUGCAGAGAGCAUCCUGACCGUAAAUACGUCCUCCAAUACGGUUUUCCUGGACCAAGUCAGCCAUUCAGGGCGAGUAAUGCUAAAGGUUGUCCCAGUGCGGUUGCAAAAUGGGGAGAAAACACUGGACACAUAUGCUGUCCUGGAUGAUGGCUCCGAAAGAACAAUCAUACUACCUGCUGCCGUCCAUCACCUUGGCCUUGUGGGAGCAGAAGAGAUUCUGUCCCUCAGGACAAUUCGACAAGAAAUCGUACAGCUGAAGGGAGCCACUGUAUCCUUUCAGGUGUCAGGUAUGACAAACCGAGUGAAGUAUGACAUUCACCAGGCUUUUACAGCAGCCGAAGUAACUCUGGCAGAGCAAUCACGUGCUGCUGACCUCCUGACACAACGAUACAAACACUUGAGAGGCUUAUCCCUGCAGUCCUUUGACAAAGUCCAGCCCCUGCUACUUAUCGGUUCUGAUAACCCUCACCUGAUAAUACCUACCCAGCCUGUGCGUACCGGUCCAGUUGGUGGCCCAGUGGCUGUGUGCACAAUGCUGGGGUGGGCGAUUCAGGGACCGGCAAGCUUUUUGCAGCAACCAACAGAUGAGAGAAGCUGUCUGCAUUUGUCCACUCUCUCCUCCUCAGAUGAGCUGCAUCAACAUGUCCAGAGACUCUGGCAGCUGGACACCCUACCCUUCCACACCAACAAGGAGGUGACGCGAUCAGGCGAAGAUAAAGCAGCCAUAGAACGACUGGAGCAAGGGACUGUCCGGGUCACCGUCGAUGGAGUGGCUCGCUAUGCUACUCCACUGUUGCGAAGACAGAAUGCACCUGUUCUUCGGGCACCUCCCACAGCAGUGAUGGCACUCCUCAGAGCGACAGAGCGACGUUUGUGUAACAGUCCAGAUCAAGCUGCUGUCUACAAUGAGGAAAUUCACAAGUUGGAGAAAGCUGGUUAUGUAGUAAAGAUCAGCAUGAAUGAGGUGAGCAGUUCUGCGGAAUCAUGGUUUAUCCCGCACCACAUUGUGUACCACAACAACAAGCCCAGAAUUGUCUUCAACUGCUCCUUUAACUACAAGCAAGCUUCACUUAACAAGAACCUGCUUCCUGGCCCGGUUCUUGGGUCAACACUGCUUGGCGUGCUGUUGAGAUUCAGAGAGUAUGCUGUGGCUAUCAGUGGAGAUAUUCGCGGCAUGUUCCAUCAGGUGCGCCUUCUGCCUGAGGACCAGCCACUUCUACGCUUCUUAUGGCGAGACGGGGAGAGGGAGCGCCGCCCAGACGUGUACGAGUGGCGUGUCCUUCCUUUCGGGACCACAUGUAGCCCAUGCUGUGCUACAUAUGCCCUGCAGCGCCAUGUAAAGGAUCACAGCGAAGAGAAUGAAGAGGUACUGUACUCGGUGCUCCAUGCAUUCUAUGUGGAUAACUGCUUACAGUCUCUACAAUCUCAGACUCAGGCAAAGGACCUGAUAGACAAGAUGAGAGCCCUCCUUGCCAGUGGAGGAUUUGAGAUAAGGCAGUGGGCUAGCAACGCACCGGAGGUUAUUUCUCACCUACCAACAGAAGCCAAAUCAACUGAGUGUGAGUUAUGGCUGACCACUAACAAGACUGAACCACAAGAGUCUUCCCUUGGUCUCAUGUGGCGCUGCAGCUCUGACACAUUGGGAUACAAGCACCGUGCCAUUCCACGUACUGCACCAACCCUGAGAUAUGUUUACAGAGUACUGGCAAGCCAAUAUGACCCAUUAGGUUAUAUCAUUCCCUUUACAACGCGAGCCAAGGUUCUGGUUCAGGCACUCUGGAAGAAAGAGAGGGGUUGGGAUGAGCCGAUUGCUGAUGAGCUCCUGUCCGUGUGGUUAGCAUGGGAAAGUGAGCUGCCAUACUUGCCAAACCUCAGCUUGCCAAGGUGUUACACUCCUGGUAUCUCGGCUGGGAGCCCCGUGAACCUGCACAUCUUCUGUGAUGCCUCAGAGAGAGCCUAUGGUGCAGUUGCAUACCUGAGAGUAGAGACUGACAGCAAUGAAGUUAAAGUGGCAUUUGUGAUGGCCCGAUCUCGUGUGGCACCCAAAAGGCAGCUUUCAAUACCUCGCCUGGAACUCUGCGCUGCCCUAGCAGGAGCACAGUUAGCCAAAGUCCUGCAGACCGAGUUAACCCUGCCACUACAGACAACUACCCUGUGGACAGAUUCGACCACUGUCCUUCACUGGAUCCAGUCUGAAUCCCAGCAGUAUAAAGUGUUUGUGGGAACCCGAAUAGCAGAAAUUCAAGAGCUUGUUGGAGCUGAGAGCUGGAGAUAUGUUCCCUCUGAAGAGAACCCUGCCGAUGACAUCACACGUGGGAAAUCCUUAAAGGAUUUAACUAAGCCAGACCGCUGGACAGAUGGCCCAGCAUUCCUCCAUCAGCCUCCCGCUAGCUGGCCUACGCACCCCACGGUGAGCUCGAUGCAGAAGGAAGAGAUCCGCGACACCAUCUUCUGUGGCAACAUUUCCACAAGCAGCCCGCUGACGCCUGAUCUGACCCAGUUCAAAUCCUGGACCGAGCUGAUACAUGCCACAUAUCACGCCCUCCACGGGGCGGCCGCUCCACCCAUGACUGCCUCCAGUCGUAGGGAGGCAGAAAUUGCCCUACUGAAAAGGUCACAAAGUGAGAGCUUCCCGGCAGAGCUUGCUGCAUUGCAGUCAGGUAAAACUGUCAGCCCUAACAGCCGCUUGCUGUCGCUUUCACCUGAAUUAGACCAUACUGUCGGGUUGAUCAGGGUUGGAGGUCGUCUCCGGAGGGCUGAAAAUCUGAAAGAGGACACUAUCCAUCCUAUAGUUCUUGCACCAGAUCACCCUGUCACAACGCUGUUAGUGCAGGACUAUGAUAACCGUCUGUUACAUGCAGGUCCUGACCGUAUAUUCGCAGAGAUAAGGAGGACCUACUGGAUACUUCGCGGCCGACAGAUUAUCAAGAGACAUCAACGCAGUUGUGUGGAAUGUUGUAAAUGGCGCAGCAAACCAGUCACUCCCCAGAUGGCAGACCUACCAGCUGCACGACUACGCAUCACUAAACCACCAUACUGGUCCACUGGAGUCGACUGCUUCGGCCCUUACACCAUAAAAAUCGGACGGAGGCAUGAGAAAAGGUGGGGUAUUAUCUUUAAAUGUCUGACCACCAGGUGCGUACAUCUGGACCUCUUGUGCAGCAUGAACACGGAUUCAUUCUUGCUUGCCCUUCGGCGCUUUGUUGCAAGAAGAGGAAAACCCUUUGAGAUUCUCUGUGAUCGUGGCACCAACUUCAGAGGAGGAGAGAGGGAACUCAGAGAAGAUUUUGCUGCUAUGGAACCAGUUUUGAAGCAACAGCUCAGUGAACAGAGUAUCGAUUUCAAAUUCAAUCCACCACUUGCUCCACAUUUUGGAGGCACAUGGGAGAGGGAAAUCAAGUCGGUCAAAGCUUCCCUGCGUGUCGUCCUGAAAGACCAAGCCGUCCCAGAAGAAGUGCUGAUGACUAUGCUUGUAGAAGUGGAGGGCAUUCUUAACUCGAAACCUCUUGGUUAUGCAACAUCAGACAUUGCGGACCCUGAUCCCAUUACCCCUAACCUUCUGCUUAUGGGGCGGAAAGACGCAUCCCUACCACAAGCAGUGUACAGCAAGAGUGACCUACUGGGACACCGCCGCUGGAGACACAGCCAAGUGCUUGCCGACCAUUUCUGGGUUCAGUUCACUCGCAAUUACCUACCGAACCUUCAGCUCCGUCAAAAGUGGCGCAUCGGUACCCCAGAUCUCACAGUAGAUCGAGUGGUCAUGGUGAUUGACCCACAGCUACCAAGGGCUCUGUGGCCAGUUGGGCGGGUAACUAAAGUAAUCCCCAGCGAUGAUGGCAAGAUACGCACAGCUGAGGUCGACAUAAAGGGAGCUAAAUACAUUCGCCCCGUGACGAAGCUCGUCACUCUUCCAAAAUUGCCAGAGGACUGA